rnacentral:rRNA from 1 species
CAUGCAAGUCGAGCGGACAGAAGGGAGCUUGCUCCCGGAUGUUAGCGGCGGACGGGUGAGUAACACGUGGGUAACCUGCCUGUAAGACUGGGAUAACUCCGGGAAACCGGAGCUAAUACCGGAUAGUUCCUUGAACCGCAUGGUUCAAGGAUGAAAGACGGUUUCGGCUGUCACUUACAGAUGGACCCGCGGCGCAUUAGCUAGUUGGUGGGGUAAUGGCUCACCAAGGCGACGAUGCGUAGCCGACCUGAGAGGGUGAUCGGCCACACUGGGACUGAGACACGGCCCAGACUCCUACGGGAGGCAGCAGUAGGGAAUCUUCCGCAAUGGACGAAAGUCUGACGGAGCAACGCCGCGUGAGUGAUGAAGGUUUUCGGAUCGUAAAGCUCUGUUGUUAGGGAAGAACAAGUGCGAGAGUAACUGCUCGCACCUUGACGGUACCUAACCAGAAAGCCACGGCUAACUACGUGCCAGCAGCCGCGGUAAUACGUAGGUGGCAAGCGUUGUCCGGAAUUAUUGGGCGUAAAGGGCUCGCAGGCGGUUUCUUAAGUCUGAUGUGAAGCCCCCGGCUCAACCGGGGAGGGUCAUUGGAAACUGGGAAACUUGAGUGCAGAAGAGGAGAGUGGAUUUCCACGUGUAGCGGUGAAAAUGCGUAGAGAUGUGGAGGAACACCAGUGGCGAAGGCGACUCUCUGGUCUGUAACUGACGCUGAGGAGCGAAAGCGUGGGGAGCGAACAGGAUUAGAUACCCUGGUAGUCCACGCCGUAAACGAUGAGUGCUAAGUGUUAGGGGGUUUCCGCCCCUUAGUGCUGCAGCUAACGCAUUAAGCACUCCGCCUGGGGAGUACGGUCGCAAGACUGAAACUCAAAGGAAUUGACGGGGGCCCGCACAAGCGGUGGAGCAUGUGGUUUAAUUCGAAGCAACGCGAAGAACCUUACCAGGUCUUGACAUCCUCUGACAACCCUAGAGAUAGGGCUUUCCCUUCGGGGACAGAGUGACAGGUGGUGCAUGGUUGUCGUCAGCUCGUGUCGUGAGAUGUUGGGUUAAGUCCCGCAACGAGCGCAACCCUUGAUCUUAGUUGCCAGCAUUCAGUUGGGCACUCUAAGGUGACUGCCGGUGACAAACCGGAGGAAGGUGGGGAUGACGUCAAAUCAUCAUGCCCCUUAUGACCUGGGCUACACACGUGCUACAAUGGACAGAACAAAGGGCUGCAAGACCGCAAGGUUUAGCCAAUCCCAUAAAUCUGUUCUCAGUUCGGAUCGCAGUCUGCAACUCGACUGCGUGAAGCUGGAAUCGCUAGUAAUCGCGGAUCAGCAUGCCGCGGUGAAUACGUUCCCGGGCCUUGUACACACCGCCCGUCACACCACGAGAGUUUGCAACACCCGAAGUCGGUGAGGUAACCUUUAUGGAGCCAGCCGCCGAAGGUGGGGCAGAUGAUUGGGGUGAAGUCGUAACA